CAGAGAUAAAUACGAUAUGGUCAACUGGAAGUCCUGUAAUACCGCCACCAGGACUUUGUUACGAGCUGUCUUCUCUAGAGCAGUUCUAUCAACACAUUCUUUAACCGGGAAACGGUCGCCGGCUUUUCCGGACAGGCCGGCUAAACUGUGUCUCGAUCGACAGAAAGUUACUGAUAUUAUAAGAGCAGUACGAAAAAGAUUCAAGG
rnacentral:misc_RNA from 1 species